rnacentral:rRNA from 1 species
GGGCACGCUUAACACAUGCAAGUCGAACGAGAGAAGAGGAGCUUGCUUUUCUGAUCUAGUGGCGGACGGGUGAGUAACACGUGAGCAAUCUGCCUUUCAGAGGGGGAUACCGAUUGGAAACGAUCGUUAAUACCGCAUAACAUAAUUGAACCGCAUGAUUUGAUUAUCAAAGAUUUAUCGCUGAAAGAUGAGCUCGCGUCUGAUUAGCUAGUUGGUAAGGUAACGGCUUACCAAGGCGACGAUCAGUAGCCGGACUGAGAGGUUGAUCGGCCACAUUGGGACUGAGACACGGCCCAGACUCCUACGGGAGGCAGCAGUGGGGAAUAUUGCACAAUGGAGGAAACUCUGAUGCAGCGAUGCCGCGUGAGGGAAGAAGGUUUUAGGAUUGUAAACCUCUGUCUUCAGGGACGAAAAAAGACGGUACCUGAGGAGGAAGCUCCGGCUAACUGCGUGCCAGCAGCCGCGGUAAUACGUAGGGAGCGAGCGUUGUCCGGAAUUACUGGGUGUAAAGGGAGCGUAGGCGGGAUCGCAAGUCAGAUGUGAAAACUAUGGGCUUAACCCAUAAACUGCAUUUGAAACUGUGGUUCUUGAGUGAAGUAGAGGUAAGCGGAAUUCCUAGUGUAGCGGUGAAAUGCGUAGAUAUUAGGAGGAACAUCAGUGGCGAAGGCGGCUUACUGGGCUUUAACUGACGCUGAGGCUCGAAAGCGUGGAGAGCAAACAGGAUUAGAUACCCUGGUAGUCCACGCCGUAAACGAUGAUUACUAGGUGUGGGGGGACUGACCCCUUCCGUGCCGCAGCAAACGCAAUAAGUAAUCCACCUGGGGAGUACGACCGCAAGGUUGAAACUCAAAGGAAUUGACGGGGGCCCGCACAAGCAGUGGAGUAUGUGGAUUAAUUCGAAGCAACGCGAAGAACCUUACCAGGUCUUGACAUCGUAUGCAUAGCUCAGAGAUGAGUGAAAUCUCUUCGGAGACAUAUAGACAGGUGGUGCAUGGUUGUCGUCAGCUCGUGUCGUGAGAUGUUGGGUUAAGUCCCGCAACGAGCGCAACCCUUACUGUUAGUUGCUACGCAAGAGCACUCUAGCAGGACUGCCGUUGACAAAACGGAGGAAGGUGGGGAUGACGUCAAAUCAUCAUGCCCCUUAUGACCUGGGCCUCACACGUACUACAAUGGCUGUCAACAGAGGGAAGCAAAGCCGCGAGGUGGAGCGAACCCCUAAAAGCAGUCUUAGUUCGGAUUGUAGGCUGCAACCCGCCUACAUGAAGUCGGAAUUGCUAGUAAUCGCAGAUCAGCAUGCUGCGGUGAAUACGUUCCCGGGCCUUGUACACACCGCCCGUCACGCCAUGGGAGUCGGUAACACCCGAAGCCUGUAGUCUAACCGCAAGGAGGACGCAGUCGAAGGUGGGAUUGAUGACUGGGGUGAAGUCGAAACAAGGUA